UACGAAGGGGGCUAGCGUUGUUCGGAAUUACUGGGCGUAAAGCGCACGUAGGCGGCUUGGUAUGUCGGGUGUGAAAUCCCCGGGCUCAACCUGGGAACUGCAUCCGAAACUGCCUUGCUAGAGUAUGGGAGAGGGAAGUGGAAUUUCCGGUGUAGCGGUGAAAUGCGUAGAUAUCGGAAGGAACAUCAGUGGCGAAGGCGACUUCCUGGACCAAUACUGACGCUCAGGUGCGAAAGCGUGGGGAGCAAACAGG
rnacentral:rRNA from 1 species